AAGCUAGUUUCUUUGUCAUAUUGCUGGUUUUGUCAAACAAAUAUAGGAAGGAAACAAUUAAUUAACGUUAUCAUUAUUCUUUGAUGGGAAACCUGUGUGCAGGGUUUGCUUAUGUUACUGAGUUUGAAUGACAAUGACUAAUGUCUAGGUAAACAAUUAUUUCCAGUCAGUGGUUAUGAGUAUUGCCUUGACUGUGUUUGAGGGUUGUUAUCCUAAUGAAUGAUUGACACUGAAAUGUGUUCAUCUAGUAUUUUAGAUUUGUAACUACUAACUAGUGUCUUUUUUGAGAAGUUAGAUGACAAGUCCUAAUUGUUAGCUGCUGAAAAGAAAUUUUUUUAAAAUCUCUAACAUCAUCCACUAAUGAAAUGAUGAUUUUUGCAGUUCCAAAUUAUUUGUUGGGUG
rnacentral:misc_RNA from 1 species